AGUCAGGAUUACGGUUAGUUUU
rnacentral:miRNA from 1 species